rnacentral:rRNA from 1 species
UUGAACGCUGGCGGCAUGCUUUACACAUGCAAGUCGGACGGCAGCACAGAGAAGCUUGCUUCUCGGGUGGCGAGUGGCGAACGGGUGAGUAACAUAUCGGAACGUACCGAGUAGUGGGGGAUAACUGAUCGAAAGAUCAGCUAAUACCGCAUACGUCUUGAGAGAGAAAGCAGGGGACCUUUGGGCCUUGCGCUAUUCGAGCGGCCGAUAUCUGAUUAGCUGGUUGGUGGGGUAAAGGCCUACCAAGGCGACGAUCAGUAGCGGGUCUGAGAGGAUGAUCCGCCACACUGGGACUGAGACACGGCCCAGACUCCUACGGGAGGCAGCAGUGGGGAAUUUUGGACAAUGGGCGCAAGCCUGAUCCAGCCAUGCCGCGUGUCUGAAGAAGGCCUUCGGGUUGUAAAGGACUUUUGUCAGGGAAGAAAAGGCUGUUGCUAAUAUCAGCGGCUGAUGACGGUACCUGAAGAAUAAGCACCGGCUAACUACGUGCCAGCAGCCGCGGUAAUACGUAGGGUGCGAGCGUUAAUCGGAAUUACUGGGCGUAAAGCGGGCGCAGACGGUUACUUAAGCAGGAUGUGAAAUCCCCGGGCUCAACCCGGGAACUGCGUUCUGAACUGGGUGACUCGAGUGUGUCAGAGGGAGGUAGAAUUCCACGUGUAGCAGUGAAAUGCGUAGAGAUGUGGAGGAAUACCGAUGGCGAAGGCAGCCUCCUGGGAUAACACUGACGUUCAUGCCCGAAAGCGUGGGUAGCAAACAGGAUUAGAUACCCUGGUAGUCCACGCCCUAAACGAUGUCAAUUAGCUGUUGGGCAACUUGAUUGCUUGGUAGCGUAGCUAACGCGUGAAAUUGACCGCCUGGGGAGUACGGUCGCAAGAUUAAAACUCAAAGGAAUUGACGGGGACCCGCACAAGCGGUGGAUGAUGUGGAUUAAUUCGAUGCAACGCGAAGAACCUUACCUGGUCUUGACAUGUACGGAAUCCUCCAGAGACGGAGGAGUGCCUUCGGGAGCCGUAACACAGGUGCUGCAUGGCUGUCGUCAGCUCGUGUCGUGAGAUGUUGGGUUAAGUCCCGCAACGAGCGCAACCCUUGUCAUUAGUUGCCAUCAUUCAGUUGGGCACUCUAAUGAGACUGCCGGUGACAAGCCGGAGGAAGGUGGGGAUGACGUCAAGUCCUCAUGGCCCUUAUGACCAGGGCUUCACACGUCAUACAAUGGUCGGUACAGAGGGUAGCCAAGCCGCGAGGCGGAGCCAAUCUCACAAAACCGAUCGUAGUCCGGAUUGCACUCUGCAACUCGAGUGCAUGAAGUCGGAAUCGCUAGUAAUCGCAGGUCAGCAUACUGCGGUGAAUACGUUCCCGGGUCUUGUACACACCGCCCGUCACACCAUGGGAGUGGGGGAUACCAGAAGUAGGUAGGGUAACCGCAAGGAGCCCGCUUACCACGGUAUGCUUCAUGACUGGGGUGAAGUCGUAA